rnacentral:rRNA from 1 species
AGCCAGACUCCUACGGGAGGCAGCAGUGGGGAAUAUUGCGCAAUGGGGGCAACCCUGACGCAGCAACGCCGCGUGCAGGAAGAAGGUCUUCGGAUUGUAAACUGUUGUCGCAGGGGAAGAAGACAGUGACGGUACCCUGUGAGAAAGUCACGGCUAACUACGUGCCAGCAGCCGCGGUAAUACGUAGGUGACAAGCGUUGUCCGGAUUUACUGGGUGUAAAGGGCGCGUAGGCGGACUGUCAAGUCAGUCGUGAAAUACCGGGGCUUAACCCCGGGGCUGCGAUUGAAACUGACAGCCCUGAGUAUCGGAGAGGAAAGCGGAAUUCCUAGUGUAGCGGUGAAAUGCGUAGAUAUUACGCAGAACUCCGAUUGCGAAGGCAGCAUACCGGCGCCCAACUGACGCUGAAGCACGAAAGCGUGGGUAUCGAACAGGAUUAGAUACCCCAGUA